rnacentral:rRNA from 1 species
AGAGUUUGAUCAUGGCUCAGGACGAACGCUGGCGGCGUGCCUAACACAUGCAAGUCGAACGGGGUUAGGAAAGCUUGCUUUCCGAAGCCUAGUGGCGGACGGGUGAGUAACGCGUGAGUAACCUGCCUUUCAGAGGGGAAUAACGUUCUGAAAAGAACGCUAAUACCGCAUAACGUACAGCUUUCGCAUGGAAGCAGUACCAAAGGAGCAAUCCGCUGAGAGAUGGACUCGCGUCCGAUUAGCUAGUUGGUGGGGUAAAGGCCUACCAUGGCGACGAUCGGUAGCCGG